rnacentral:rRNA from 1 species
AUUGAACGCUGGCGGCAUGCCUAACGCAUGCAAGUCGAACGCCAAAGCGGAGAGGGCCACCCGUAGGGUGGGAAACGGGGGAGUAAUGACAUCGUAAACAUUUCCAGUAGCCGGGGGAUAACCUGUCGAAAGAUCAGGCUAAAACCUGCAAACGAUCUACGGAUGAACUCGGGGGACCAAGGGGCCACGCACAAUUGCAUUGGCCCAUGGCGAAUUACCCAGUUGGUUGGGGUAAAAGCUGACGGGGGAACCGAUCCGUAGCGGGUCUGAGAGGACGAUCACCCACACGGGAAUUGACACCCGGGCCACACUCCUACGGGAGGCACCCGUGGGGAAUUUUGGACAAGGGACUCUUGCCUGAUGCGCCCAUGCCGGGUGAGUGAACACGGCCUGCGGGUUGAAAGCCUCUUUCGGGGAAAACAAUUCGGUGAGGGUAAAAAUCGCUGACUACUGACGGAACUCGCCGAGCAAGCACCGGCUAACUACCUG